rnacentral:rRNA from 1 species
CGAACGGGUGAGUAAUGCGUGACCAACCUGCCCCAUGCUCCAGAAUAGCUCUUGGAAACGGGUGGUAAUGCUGGAUGCUCCAACUUGACGCAUGUCUUGUUGGGAAAGUGUUUAGUGGCAUGGGAUGGGGUCGCGUCCUAUCAGCUUGUAGGCGGGGUAAUGGCCCACCUAGGCUUCGACGGUAGCCGGCCUGAGAGGGCGGACGGCCACAUUGGGACUGAGAUACGGCCCAGACUCCUACGGGAGGCAGCAGGU